UGGCGCACGGGUGAGUAACACGUGGGAACCUGCCUUUCGGUUCGGGAUAACGUCUGGAAACGGACGCUAACACCGGAUACGUCCUUCGGGAGAAAGUUUACGCCGAGAGAGGGGCCCGCGUCCGAUUAGGUAGUUGGUGGGGUAAUGGCCCACCAAGCCGACGAUCGGUAGCUGGUCUGAGAGGAUGAUCAGCCACACUGGGACUGAGACACGGCCCAGACUCCUACGGGAGGCAGCAGUGGGGAAUAUUGGACAAUGGGGGCAACCCUGAUCCAGCAAUGCCGCGUGAGUGAUGAAGGCCUUAGGGUUGUAAAGCUCUUUCACACGCGACGAUGAUGACGGUAGCGUGAGAAGAAGCCCCGGCUAACUUCCUGCCAGCAGCCGCGGUAAUACCAAGGGGGCGAGCGUUGUUCGGAAUUACUGGGCGGAGCCCUCGCCUAAGCGGGCCCCAGCCCGCUUUCGUAUUGCGUAAUGAUCCCUCCGCAGGUUCACCUACGGACACCUUGGACGACUUUUCCCGAGAUGAUGAUGGAAUUCCCUGUGUAGAGGUGAAAUCCAUAUAUAUUGUCCAAUAAACGUCUCCCUAAUUACUUCUAUCUA
rnacentral:rRNA from 1 species